rnacentral:rRNA from 1 species
GAUGAACGCUGGCGGCGUGCUUAACACAUGCAAGUCGAACGGAAAGGCCCUGCUUUUGUGGGGUGCCCGAGUGGCGAACGCGUGAGUAACACGCGAGUAACCUGCCCUUGACUUUGGGAUAACUUCAGGGAACUGGGGCUAAUACCGGAUAGGAGUCCCCGCUGCAUGGUGGUGGUUGGCAAGUUUCGGCGGUUGGGGAUGGAUUGGCGGCUUGUCAGCUUGUUGGUGGGGUAGGGGCUUACCAAGGCUUUGACGGGGAGCGGGCCUGGGCGGGUGACAGGACCCACUAGAACUGAGAUGCGGCCCAGACUCGUAUGGGACGGGACGGAGCAGAAUAUUGUACUAUAGGAGGGGGCAUGGUGUAGCGACGCCGCGUGCGGUGUAACGGCCUUCGGGUUGUGAACCAAUUUCGUCUGAGACGAGGGGAAAGUGACGGUAAUGGAUAAAGAAGCACCGGCUAACUACGUG